UGGGGAAUCUUGCGCAAUGGCCGAAAGGCUGACGCAGCGACGCCGCGUGCGGGAGGAAGCUCUUCGGGGUGUAAACCGCUGUUGCCCGGAACGAAAUGGUCUUUCGAGACCCUUGACGGUACCGGGUGAGGAAGCGCCGGCUAACUCUUUGCCAGCAGCCGCGGUACUACCGAGGGCGCGAGCGUUGUCCGGAAUCACCGGGCGUAAAGGGCGCGUAGGUGGCCACCAUAAGGCCGCGGUGAAAGUUCGGGGCUCAACCCCGGAGCGGCCGCGGCGACUGUGGGGCUGGGGUACUGUAGAGGCAGGUGGAAUUCCGGGUGUAGCGGUGGAAUGCGUAGAGAUCCGGAAGAACACCAGUGGCGAAGGCGGCCUGCUGGGCAGUGGGAUCGAAAGGUCCCUUUAACCGACACUGAGGCGCGACAGCGUGGGGAGCAAAC
rnacentral:rRNA from 1 species